rnacentral:misc_RNA from 1 species
GAAAUGCGAUAACUAGUGUGAAUUGUAGAAUUCCGUGAAUCAUCGAGUCUUUGAACGCACAUUGCGCCCCCUGGUAUUCCGGGGGGCAUGCCUGUCCGAGCGUCAUUGCUGCCCAUCAAGCACGGCUUGUGUGUUGGGUCGUCGUCCCCUCUCCGGGGGGGACGGGCCCCAAAGGCAGCGGCGGCACCGCGUCCGAUCCUCGAGCGUAUGGGGCUUUGUCACCCGCUCUGUAGGCCCGGCCGGCGCUUGCCGAACGCAAAUCAAUCUUUUUCCAGGUUGACCUCGGAUCAGGUAGGGAUACCCGCUGAACUUAAGC